GCCGACGUCGCAUAACCCGGCAUUGCGGUAGGCUUGAGACCUACUUCCCGCAAGGGUAUCCCGGAAGCUUUUUGCGUUCGCAAAAACCUUGGAAAAAUUCAGGGGUUUCGCUUCGCUCAAGCCCCUUUAAUUGUAGAGAAUGCAAAGCUGGGAAAUUCAAAUCCGGGCGUCGGCG
rnacentral:tRNA from 1 species